ACGCGACCCCAGGUCAGGCGGGGCUACCCGC
rnacentral:rRNA from 3 species